AUGAGGUUCGAAUGCACCAGACGAGCACCGUUUGUCUCAGUGUGGGAAACGCCUCAAAGAAAG
rfam:Trypanosoma theileri isolate Edinburgh TM35_Tth_59_V1, whole genome shotgun sequence.